AUGCAGGAUCAUCUUCGACAUGGAAACGAUGAGAUGCUGGAGAUUAUAGAGUAUGGCUAUCAUGUGGUUGAUCCAAAGAACCCCACACCAAGAGAAAUAUAUGACAAGAACCUCAAUGACACGGCAAUCAUGUGUAUAAGGAAAGGUAUGAAUGAAAAGCAAAGGAGACCGUUCAUUCACAUCAAAAGUGCCAAGGAACUAUGGGAAAGUAUUAUACGAUCCAGAACUGGCACUUCUGCCCUCCGGAGUGCUCAAUAUGAAAUUGCCAAGGGGCAAUUGCAAAAUUUCUGUAUGGAAAAAGGUGAAACCCCCAAUCAACUCCUUGAGCGUCUCAUGACUCUCACUGCGGAUAUUGAGUCAUGUGAGUGUGACAAGACUCAAGAUGGAUUCAAUAUGACUAAGAGGUUUCUUGUGGAUAAGUUGCUUCAUGCUCUUGCUCCAUAUCAUCAUCAAAUGGUGUGGGACAUAAGACAACACCAUUCCUUCAAGGAAAUGACU
rnacentral:rRNA from 1 species